AUGCUUGCUUGGACAGCCUGUAUGCUAAAAUUGGAACAAUAUAGAGCAGAUUAGCAUGGCAACUGUGCAAGAAUGAUGUAGGGUUUGGUGGCCAAUAAAAGAUGGCC